rnacentral:rRNA from 1 species
AUACGGAGGGUGCAAGCGUUAAUCGGAAUUACUGGGCGUAAAGCGUACGUAGGCGGUUAUUUAAGUCAGAUGUGAAAGCCCCGGGCUUAACUUGGGAACUGCAUUUGAAACUGGGUAACUAGAGUUUAGUAGAGGGGAGUGGAAUUUCAGGUGUAGCGGUGAAAUGCGUAGAGAUCUGAAGGAACACCAGUGGCGAAGGCGACUCCCUGGACUAAAACUGACGCUGAGGUACGAAAGCGUGGGUAGCAAACAGGAGUAGAUACCCUAGUAGUCC